AUUGAACGCUGGCGGCAUGCCUUACACAUGCAAGUCGAACGGUAACGCGGGGCAACCUGGCGACGAGUGGCGAACGGGUGAGUAAUGCAUCGGAACGUGCCCAGUAGUGGGGGAUAGCCCGGCGAAAGCCGGAUUAAUACCGCAUACGACCUACGGGUGAAAGCGGGGGGCCGUAAGGCCUCGCGCUAUUGGAGCGGCCGAUGUCAGAUUAGGUUGUUGGUGGGGUAAAGGCCUACCAAGCCGACGAUCGGUAGCUGGUCUGAGAGGACGACCAGCCUCACUGGGACUGAGACACGGCCCAGACUCCUACGGGAGGCAGCAGUGGGGAAUUUUGGACAAUGGGGGCAACCCUGAUCCAGCCAUGCCGCGUGCGGGAAGAAGGCCUUCGGGUUGUAAACCGCUUUUGUCAGGGAAGAAACGCUCUGGGUUAAUACCUCGGGGUAAUGACGGUACCUGAAGAAUAAGCACCGGCUAACUACGUGCCAGCCGCCGCUGUAAGAC
rnacentral:rRNA from 1 species